rnacentral:snoRNA from 1 species
UCCUCCACUUAACAUGAUGAGAACAAUUUCGAACCUUCAAAUCAAUUAGGAAGAGCCGGAAAAGGUAUGCCAGAUGAAACCCAGACUCUCAAAGAAGAAAGACUGGGUCUCGUCUGUCGUCGGUGCUUAGAAUUGGUUCUGCUGAGGAGGACUUUUUU